GCGUGCUGCGGGGCGACCAUGGCUGUAGACUGUUACCUCCGGUUCCCACAGUAACAAUCGAAAGCCACGGUUGCCCUGGAGACGC
rnacentral:pre_miRNA from 1 species